AGUGAACGCUGGCGGUAGGCCUAACACAUGCAAGUCGAACGGCAGCACAGUAAGAGCUUGCUCUUACGGGUGGCGAGUGGCGGACGGGUGAGGAAUACAUCGGAAUCUACUUUUUCGUGGGGGAUAACGUAGGGAAACUUACGCUAAUACCGCAUACGACCUACGGGUGAAAGCAGGGGAUCUUCGGACCUUGCGCGAUUGAAUGAGCCGAUGUCGGAUUAGCUAGUUGGCGGGGUAAAGGCCCACCAAGGCGACGAUCCGUAGCUGGUCUGAGAGGAUGUUCACCACCCCUGAACCUGAGCCCCGGCCCGGCCUCUUCGGGGGGGCCGCGGUGGGAAAUAUUGGCCAAGGGGGGCAAGCCUGAUCCAGCCAUCCCGCGUGGGUGAAGAAGGCCUUCGGGUUGUAAGGCCCUUUUGUUGGGAAAGAAAGGCAGCAGGUUAAAACCCCGCUGUUCUACCGUUACCCAAAGAGUAGCCCCGGCCAACCUCGGU
rnacentral:rRNA from 1 species